rnacentral:rRNA from 1 species
CCUACGAGAGGCAGCAGUGGGGAAUAUUGCACAAUGGGCGAAACCCUGAUGCAGCAACGCCGCGUGAGUGAAGAAGUAUUUCGGUAUGUAAAGCUCUAUCAGCAGGGAAGAAAAUGACGGUACCUGACUAAGAAGCCCCGGCUAACUACGUGCAAGCAGCCGCGAUAAUACGUAGGCGGCAAGCGUUAUCCGGAUUUACUGGGUGUAAAGGGAGCGUAGACGGCAGUGCAAGUCUGGAGUGAAAGCCGGGGGCUCAACCCCCGGACUGCUCUGGAAACUGUACGGCUGGAGUGCGGGAGAGGCAGGUGGGAUUCGUAGUGUAGCGGUGAAAUGCGUAGAUAUUAGGAGGAACACCAGUGGCGAAGGCGGCCUGCUGGACAGUAACUGACGUUGAGGCUCGAAAGCGUGGGGAGCAAACAGGAUUAGAUACCCCUGUAGUC